UUAAGGCCCCGUUCAGAUCGACAGGCUAAAUUGGGUGAGAAGAACAAAUUCUAUUAUGAUGAAAAGCUUAAGAGAUGGGUAGAAGAAGGUGCUGAACCCCCAACUGAAGAAGCAGUCUUGCAACCCCCUCCAACAACUUCAGCCUUCCAGAAUGGAAUGUCUGACUACAACUUGAAAUAUGCACUAAAGAGUGAUGGAUCUCCCACUAAUGGGAGCCCAACAUCUAAGACCCCAAAUCCUGUGGAGCACUCUUCAGGGAUUCCACCUAUUCCAACCAGUUCAAAUCAGUU
rnacentral:misc_RNA from 1 species